rnacentral:misc_RNA from 1 species
UCCUCUUUACAGAGGCAGUUUCGUCAGAGUUCCCGGCUUUACCCGCUGGUAACAGACAAUGAGGGUUGCGCUCGUUGCGGGACUUAACCCAACAUUUCACAACACGAGCUGACGACAGCCAUGCACCACCUGUGUAUCACCUUCGAAAGCGAUCGCUUUUCGGCGACUUGCAGAUACAUGUCAAGCCCUGGUAAGGUUCUUCGCGUUGCAUCGAAUUAAGCCACAUGCUCCACCGCUUGUGCGGGCCCCCGCCAAUUCCUUUGAGUUUCAACCUUGCGGCCGUAGUCCCCAGGCGGUUCACUUAAUGCGUUAGCUGCGGCACCGAGGGAAACCCCCAACACCUAGUGAACAUCGUUUAGGGCCAAGACUAC